AGAACUUUGCAGAAAACACCAUGAAUGAACUCCUUGGCUGGUAUGGCUAUGAUAAGGUUGAAUUAAAAGAUGGUGAAGAUAUUGAAUUCAGGAGCUACCCUACAGAUGGGGAGAGCCGGCAGCACAUUUCUGUUCUCAAAGAAAAUUCUUUGCCAAAACCAAAAUUACCCGAGGACAGUGUUAUUUCACCAUACAAUAUAAGCACAGGCUAUUCAGGGCUUGCCACUGGAAAUGGACUCAGUGACUCACCUGCAGGGUCAAAGGAUCAUGGCAAUGUGCCCAUUAUUGUACCUUUAAUUCCACCACCUUUCAUAAAGCCACCAGCAGAAGAUGAUGUGUCAAAUGUACAAAUAAUGUGUGCCUGGUGCCAGAAAGUGGGAAUCAAGCGCUAUUCCCUGAGUAUGGGAAGUGAGGUGAAAAGCUUCUGCAGCGAGAAGUGCUUUGCGGCCUGCCGACGAGCCUACUUCAAGAGAAAUAAGGCUAGAGAUGAAGAUGGACAUGCUGAAAAUUUUCCCCAGCAGCACUAUGCUAAGGAAACUCCAAGGCUUGCCUUCAAGAAUAACUGCGAACUACUUGAACGUUCACUCACAGGGUACGCUCAUGGAGAGAGGGCGCAGAGCAAACCAUGUCACGCCAUCCAAUGACACCAGCUGGUCAGCUCACCACCCCCUCUGGCUAAAACUCAAGCAAAUAAAGCCGCUUCCUGUCAUUAAGCAUCUCAGAGGAAGCAGCCCUCCCUCGAUGGCCUCUAGCCCAGAGAAGCCCGCGCGUCUUGGACCCACCAAGCAGGCCCAGCCUUCCUGCUGCCACCAUCUCUGCUUCUCCCCAGAGGAACUUAGGGAUUUCACCCCUGGCUUUUAAAAAAAACGAAAUACCGACAAGCCACAAGGACCAAUGUAGGUAUUCUCCCCGCCCCAUCUUCAAGGCUCAGCGACUGAGGCUGGAAGAUGAUAUGGAUUGGAACACAAAAAAUCUUUUUUUAAUCUUUUUAAAAACUGCUGUGGUUUUGCUGCUACACUAAGAAUUGUGAUUUGCAUUGUACGGUUUUGGACCUAUAUUGUUCACGUUUUGAUGGCGGAGAGGGGUGGUCCUGGAGGCCCAAUGCUUCAGAGUCAUCUCUGUCCUGCCCGGGAUGCACUUUUAAAUGAAGAGUUAGAAUAUUUUAUUGGCUAAUAUACUUUUCUUGUUAUUUUUACAAAGGCCACCUUUAUCCUUUUUGAUGCCAUAUUUUCAGUGUUACACUUUUAUGGCUUUUAAUUUUCGAUUUGACAGAUGUAAGAAGCAGCAUGAAUAGUUUAUACUGUGGUUUUUCAGAGACUGAAUGCCAAGAGAACUCGGUAAAUGUUUAUUCUUCUCAGCUUUCUCUUUAAAUUCCCCUAAAUAGCGCCCCAUUUGGGAACAGAGCAAGAGUGUUGAACUGAAGACCAAAAUGCCCUCAAGGUGUAAAAUAAUCCGAGGGGGAAUAUUUGCUGGGCGUCAGGAAAGACUCGGAUGAAAUUUCAACCCUGAUGGUUUUCGGUGAUCCAGGAAGUCAGUGAGACAAUCUCUCUAUAUGCAGAGCCCUUUCAUGAUAAUUAGAAUGGUAUGGACAAACCAAUGAAAACAAGAGGGAAAGUGAGAAAGAUCACCCAUGAUUCUGUUUCACUGUUUGCUUUCUCCUGUCAUGGUUAAGAGAAAUGUGCAAUUCGAUCCUCAAUCAGUGGGUGGAGGAUAACAGGGUAGAUUCACUUGUGUGCACUUGUACAGUUGUAGCUGCGAGUCCAGAAGUCCUCUAGAGCAUGUGUACUGGCACUGAGUUGGUGAGACAGUUGUGGAGUAUCCCAUUCUGAUGAGUACAGAAAAAAAAAAAAAAAAGAAAAAGAAAAGAAGAGAAAAAAUUAAGAAAAAAAUCAAAAAAGGAAGAAAACUAAAAAAAAAAAAUCAAAUCACCUUGUGAUUCAGUGUAUCUGUUUACUAACUCAAAUAAAGCAAUUGUUCCCUCUGGAGGGGUCCAGGUGCCCCCGCCCCACAAGGCCGCGGAGCCUCAGCAGGAGGGGUGGCGAGUCGCGGGUGGGCAGGGCCAGGACGGUGUGGCGCCAGCCUUGAAGCACCACGGCCCGAGGAUGCGGUGUACAUACUGUAUUUCUAGAUUCUCCUUUGUACAGAGUCACUUCACAAGUCAAGCUACUGUUUUACAGGUGCUCCUUAUUUAUUAGAGCUGUGAGAGCUUGGGGGACACACCUGGCGAGCAAGCUCGCUUUUUAAAAAUGAAAUUUGGGUGCAGGGGAAGGGGAGGCGGGAGGGAGGGGAAGCUCGCAAGCCCGGGGAGAGAUUUAUAAAAGUAAACAAAAGAAAACCUUCCAGCAACAAAUUAAAAAAUAAUAACAAAUCAACCCCAGCACCAAACCCACCCAGGCAGGAAGAAGCCGCCCCUCCUCUGGGGCCAUAUUUUUCUGCUGGGUCACAACAUUCUCCUCUCCCUGACUGGUGUCAGAUUCAUCAAACAAAAAAUAAAUCUCGAAG
rnacentral:lncRNA from 1 species